GGGUGACUAGUCUAGUGGUCAGGACGCUUCGUUGUGGGUGACGUAAGUCAACACAAGCGAUCCGAAGAAACCCCGGUUCGAUUCCGGGGUCGCCCA